rnacentral:rRNA from 1 species
CACGGAGUUAGCCGGAGCUUACAAAUAGUACCGUCAUCGAGCCGUUUAUUCGACGGCUCUUAUUCUUCCUAUUCUUGCGAAGUUUACACACCGAAAUGCUUCAUCCUUCACGCGGCGUUGCUGGGUCAGGCUUGCGCCCAUUGCCCAAAAUUCCCGACUGCUGCCUCCCGUAGGAGUCUGACCCGUAUCUAAGUGUCAGUGUGACCGACCGCCCUCUCAGGCCGGUUACGGAUCGCAGGCUUGGUGAGCCGUUACCCCACCAACUACCUAAUCCGCCGCGGGCUUCUCUCCGGGCACGAGGUCGGCAUCGCUGCCGAUCCCCCGCUUUAACAACCGUCACCAUGUGGUGCCGCUGCAUCAUGCGGUAUUAACGACCGUUUCCGGUCGGUAUCCCCCACCCGAAGGCAAAUUACCCACGUGUUACUCACCCGUGCGCCACUUUACUCGCCCCCGAAAGGGCUUUCACGUUCGACUUGCAUGUCUGAGGCACGCCGCCAGCGUUGAUUCUGAGCCAGGAUCAAACU